CACGUAGGGGCCAAGCGUUGUCCGGAUUUAUUGGGCGUAAAGAGCUCGUAGGCGGUUCGACAAGUCGGGUGUGAAAACUUGGGGCUCAACCCCAAGCUUGCAGGCGAUACGGGCAGACUAGAGUACUUCAGGGGAGACUGGAAUUCCUGGUGUAGCGGUGAAAUGCGCAGAUAUCAGGAGGAACACCGGUGGCGAAGGCGGGUCUCUGGGAAGUAACUGACGCUGAGAAGCGAAAGCGUGGGUAGCGAACAGG
rnacentral:rRNA from 1 species